rnacentral:rRNA from 1 species
GCCUACGGCCACACCACCAUGAGCGCAUUUGAUCUCAUCUGAUCUCAGAAGCUAAGCAGGGUCAGGCCUGUUUACUAUUUGGAUGGGAGACCUUUUUAGAUAAUAUUUCUCUGUACCUU